CCUACGGGAGGCUGCAGUGGGGAAUAUUGGACAAUGGGGGCAACCCUGAUCCAGCCAUGCCGCGUGUGUGAAGAAGGCCCUCGGGUUGUAAAGCACUUUCAGUGAGGAAGAACGCCUGGUGGUUAAUACCCAUCAGGAAAGACAUCACUCACAGAAGAAGCACCGGCUAACUCCGUGCCAGCAGCCGCGGUAAUACGGAGGGUGCGAGCGUUAAUCGGAAUUACUGGGCGUAAAGCGCGCGUAGGUGGCUUGAUAAGCCGGUUGUGAAAGCCCCGGGCUCAACCUGGGAACGGCAUCCGGAACUGUCAAGCUAGAGUGUAGGAGAGGAAGGUAGAAUUCCCGGUGUAGCGGUGAAAUGCGUAGAGAUCGGGAGGAAUACCAGUGGCGAAGGCGGCCUUCUGGACUGACACUGACACUGAGGUGCGAAAGCGUGGGUAGCAAACAGGAUUAGAUACCCUUGUAGUC
rnacentral:rRNA from 1 species